rnacentral:lncRNA from 1 species
CUGGGCCUAUACUGGGUUGUGGGACUGGGAAGAUUAGAAUCCUGCCCGAUACAUUACUCAGCUAGGUUGAGGAGAAAAAUACAAACCAUUGACAGCUACAUUGAUAGCUACAAUGAUAGUCUAGAUGUGGUAUGGGACUCCAGAUGGAAGUACUGAAGAUUAAACAGAUGUUGGAAGGUGAAGAGAUGGGAGGGGAGAAUGAUGUACUGUUUAACUUAACAACCUGGAUCUGACUAUGUAGGUCAAGUAUUGACCCCAACCUACUGCAGCUAUUUUGGACAAGUUCGAACCUACAUUUCUUCACAGUCUUCUUAUACGAAGAACGGCGCUAAGUGCUGCUGCAUACAAAUUUGUGAGGAUCAAGUGAAAAUAUGCUAGAAAUCAGCCAGCACACAAUGCGUAGUCUAUGGAGAAAAUAUUUGCACAAAAUUACUUGGAUCAUUUUUAUGGAAUCACAACUUCUCUCCCAGUCAUUUCAGAUGAUGGAUAGUUAUUUUAUUCCUUCUAACAAAAUAUCUCACUCAGGAUUCUAUCUGAUACUGUUUUGGUCAGUCUUGAAAUCCGGCAAAUAGAGCUGGUCUGAGGAAGAGAAGAUUGCAAGAUAUAUGAAACUUGAGUUUUAAGUGUUUAUUCUUCAAUAUGCUCUCCUCCAUCUUGUCCUCUUUAAUUCCACAUGUUAAACCUCCACAAUGGUCUUUUCUUUAGCUUAAUGGCAUUGAUUUUGCCAAAAUAACAACUACGACUGGUUAAAUAAAGUUAUGUUUUGUCAGCUAUUUAUAUCUUAA